CCUACGGGAGGCUGCAGUGGGGAAUAUUGGGCAAUGGGUGCAAGCCUGACCCAGCAACGCCGCGUGAAGGACGAAGGCUUUCGGGUUGUAAACUUCUUUUAAGAGGGAAGAGCAGAAGACGGUACCUCUUGAAUAAGCCACGGCUAACUACGUGCCAGCAGCCGCGGUAAUACGUAGGUGCCAAGCGUUGUCCGGAUUUACUGGGUGUAAAGGGCGUGUAGCCGGGCUGACAAGUCAGAUGUGAAAUUCCGGGGCUCAACCCCGGACCGUCAUGUGAAACUGUUGGUCUUGAGUAUCGGAGAGGCAGGCGGAAUGCCUAGUGUAGCGGUGAAAUGCGUAGAUAUUAGGAGGAACACCAGUGGCGAAGGCGGCCUGCUGGACGACAACUGACGGUGAGGCGCGAAAGCGUGGGGAGCAAACAGGAUGAGAUACCCUAGUAGUC
rnacentral:rRNA from 1 species